UCGGCCUGGUGUGCGCAAACGCGUGCGUGUUUAAACAGCACCUGCAUGGAUGAUAAUGGAACGGUAUACAUUAGGCACAUAUAUCUACCUGCGACGAUAUGUACAUGUACAUACAUACGUUGCGUCAAAUUACCGCGCACGCGUUAUCGCUACAUUAUUAGAGGAUCCGAGUAUCACUUAUACCAUUCGUUACUUUACAUGGACACUGGAUUACUUGUAUCGAACAUUGGAUAUUAUCUACUGUUGACUAUUGGUAAGUUUGAGAAAACAAGCACAAGCCUGUACUUUACAAAAAAAAAAAAAAAAAAAAAAAAAAAAAACACAUCGCAGUCAAAAUGAUAAAUCAUUUUGACGCAAUAUUGGGUCAAUAUGACGUCAAAAUAAUUAUGGUAUUUUGACUGCGCUGUGUUACUUGGGUCGGUCGACCAUCAUGCAUCGUCACGAGAAAAGGAUAACGGAUAUUGCGGUCUGACAACGAGACCAAUCAAGUCUUUUUGUACCUAUUUCAAAACUAGAAAGAGAGAAAGAAAGGAAGAAGGGUAAAGACUUGUUUGCAGCUCUCUUGUGUCGUCGAGAAUGGCGAAAUUUGUAGUGGCGUUGAACGAGAGAUUAUAAUAUGGUAUCACAAAUUUUAAAUUUUGCAACAGUUAAAAACAAAUGAUGCAAUAAAAACGACGCCGAUCAAUCAAAUCCAACAAUGACCACUAGUUUUAUAUCAACGACAUAUAUAUACUAGAUUUAUAUGCGAAACAUGAAUCUGACGCGCGAUGGUGGACGAGACGGCAAAAGAUACGUCUUACGUAUUUUAUUUGUUAAGUAUAUUAGAGGAUACGCGCGCGUGUAUAUAUGUGUACAUAAAUUCUAAGUGGAUACGACGACGUGGAAGCCGCCAGUCCGCGUAUCCAUUUUUUCAAUUCUGAGGUACGAGUGCAGUUUCGUCAAGCACGAUAGAGCGAUCUUCUACAUCUUUAUUAUUAUUUUAGAUAUUUCCAUUUCGUAUGUCGCUUGUCGCAUCGUUUCGCGUCAGUUUCGCGUCAAUUUACGACGUGCGGCGCGGCGUAACCGCGUAACGUCGUUAAGCGACGAUUGUGGAGCAUCGGAGCAUCGGAGGAACGAAAUUUUCUCUCAACCACGUAAGAAGGGCGAAAUAUGUCCUAUGAUACGGAAUCGCGGAAUUCGUUGCCUGACGACAAAGAGCUUAUAGAGAACGUGGUGGACGAGGAUUCUCAUUCACGUUCAAACAGCCGUGUACAAACGGCGGUAUCGCAGAAACGUUCAAAUAUCGAUAUCGAUGUUAAAUGUGACCGCGACGGUGCAUUAACAUCGAUUGAUAACGAUGAAAACGACCGUCUCUCUGUGGUGCCUGAUGUGAUUAGAAAAGUGGAAACGGAAGUAGAGGAUGACAAGGAUGAGGCCGAUAAGACAAUAUCGAUUGUCGAUAAGGAAACGCGAAAUAAUUCCAAUAAGGAAGAACAAACGCUUAUAUGUUUUGGGAACACUGAUGACCACAUCUUGGAUCAAGUGUCUAACCCGACAAAAGGAUCGGAAAACUUGAAACGAUCGAAAAGUAAGAAACGAGCGUUCUCUUUACUCGAUAUAUUGAUUUCUACGAGCAUCCUUGCUCCUUUCGCGAUCGGCUUUUGGAGAGGUGUAUGGGGAUGCAUGGAUCGUCAUGCGGAAUUGUUUCCCGGCUGGUUUUGUUUUACGUUCGGCGCAGCUCUGCUCGCAACAUAUACGAUUUUCAAAGACCAAUUUCACAACGUUUACAUGAAGAAGUGGGCUAAAUCAAGUUGGCGAAAACGACUGCUUUAUCGGACGUUACGAAUUCUGUAUACUUACACCUUUGGAGUAGCAUGCAUCGCGCAUUGGCGGGGUGGUUGGAUCAUCAUUGAUAAUUAUCUAUUUAUGCACACGUGGAUAACGAUGUCUUUGACAUGCUCGCUAUUGGCAUGCCUGGCGAUUCUACGUUCCGUCCGAAACUUGAUAACAACCCCAAUGAUAACUCAGAUCGACACGCCGAGUUGCGUUUUUCAAUUUCCUACUAGAUAUAACGUGAUAAACGUCUACGACGGUAUGAAAUAUCCAAUAAUUAAUUUUAUUUUCAAUAUCUUGCGUAUAAUCACAUUUUUGAAAUGACAUUGGAUCUCGCGUGACCCUGACGAGCUCGCUGGAACGAAUUAGGGGAUGAAGGUGAGAAGAUGUUGUGUAACCCACAAGCUUGAUUGGCACACAAAAAGGUGUCGAUUAGCGAUGAAUUUGGCUAAAGCGUCAAUGGCUAAAUGAAUAUACGUCAAUGGCUUGAUGAAUGCGAGGCAGGAAAGAUUGCUCGGAAGAAAAAAUAACGUCAAGGUGACUAAAAAUUAUGCCAUUGUACGUGAAUCCGUUCUUCUUUAUCGGAGCAACAUUGUAAAACCAAUAUUUGCUGAGAUACAUGGGAACAGACUUGUUGAGAAAACUGAUAAACGGCAUUAUUCUGUCUUUUUGCACAUGGAAUAUUAAACGAAAAUAGAGCGAUGCUUUCAGCGUCGAAAACGUCAAAACGAACGCAGUCCUGCUGAAGAAUAUAGAAUGGCGAUGAAUUUAAAUAAAUAUAAUUUGGUCCAUAUUAUAUCCCGGUGCUUCCGACGAUACCUAUAUGUCCCCGGUUUACGGUAAAGUUACCGACGGGGGAUCUAUAUCACUUAUUAAUUGUCUCGAUAAGUGAAACAAUUCAGGAAUUGACAUAUCGGAAAUUUGUUUAGUAGAGAGAUGAGAGGAUCUAGGAAUGAAAAUACAUAUUGGAUACUCACGAUAUAUCAACUAUCAACGACAGGACAUUGUCUCUGUGCGCUCUCCUUUUAUUUCUUUCACGUAUUUCGACGAAUUUUUGACUACCGAGGAAAAGAAUUAAUAAGCAGAAUACUAUCGAUCGAGUGCUUUUCACUUUCUUGCUUUUUCUUUUCUCGGCGUACAUAAGUAGUCUCGAGUCAAAAGUAACCCUUGAAUUUUUCGAGAUACAUAAUGCAGCUAUAUUUUAUGUUUAUAAAAAUAACGUUUUAUGAAAAGCUUGCCACACGUGAAUGAUAUAUUUGUCAGCAACUCCGUUUCACUAAGAUUGAUAAAGACCUCGAUAGGAAAAUAUUAUAUAUAAAAUUAUAUGACGAAAUCUGGAUGAACGUGGGAAUGCUGCACGUAUAUCUCAAUAUUUGCAGCAGUACUUGUAGAACGUUAGAUCUUUGUACAAAUAUUGAUAAAUAUUGCACACGUUGCAUAAUUUAUUUCUAAAUAGCGUUUCAGCAAAACAGCGUAGAAUCAUUUUAAUAUUUGUAAAAUUGUGGAAUAUUUGUAAAAUUAAUUUUUGAAAAAGAUUGCGUAAUAUAAUUGCGAAAUAUGCUUCUAAUAUCGAAAUACGUGUGUAUAACUUGUAAUCAAAAUUGAAUUUAUCAAUUUUUGUGCAAAUAUUAUUCAGAAAUUUCAUGUCGACAAAAUUGCUGCGUUAUGGCGAAUCAUCUUGGUGCAUUAAUUGUGAAAUUCCUCUCAGUUGAAUGAUGCAAUUAUUGUACAAUAUUUGCGCAAUUUUCCCAUCAGGGGAUGAAUAAAUUUACAAGCUAUCUCAAUAUAUUAACGAUUAAAUCGCAUUUGAAGAGUCGUCAGAUUGGUAAUUUGUAAUUAAUUAUAUUCAGUUUCAUAGUCACGCACGCGAGAUGCGAGAUGACCAUAUUAUACUUGCUUGUCUUGCACGAUGAUUAGAAAAUGAGAGUGUAAAAUGAGCAUGUAGUACUGUACAGAAUGUGCAUAUACGAUUUUGUCUCUCGUUGCCUUUUUCGUUGACAGAAAUUUGUCACGUCCCAAGGAAGAGUACAUCCGGAUUACGUCGUGUUAAAAACCCCAAAAACUCUUGGCGCAGUGUUGUUUGGAUGCGUGACAAUUUUCUCUCGACUUUACGUGUUUAUCGGGCCCAGUUUUCGGUCCGUUGCGCUCACCGUGCUCACCAUGCUCAUGCACCGUACUCACUGUACAUGCAGUCGAUUCCUAUGUGUAAAUCGUAAAUGAUAAAUUGUAAAUCGCGAUUAGCCGAUUACACGGAUUGCAUGUAUCUCAUUUACACGCGUUGUUCAAGCUCGCGUUAUCGGUGUGUAUAAGGCAGUUUCCGGCAGAAGUCCCCCGACCGUCAACCACUAUUGCGCCUGUAUAAUCUAUGUGCGCAUUAGCGCAACAUGUGCAAGUGCGUUAAUUUAUCUGUCGUUUGUAAUUACAUUUGAAACGCGAUUAUGAUUGUCUUUUAAUUAUUUGUUACCGCGUCAAAAUAAUUACCAUUGCGAUUGUAAAUGUCGAUGAUAUCGCAAGAAAGAUUAUAUGUUACGCGACGUACGAGUACUCUUCAGGAAACGUUGAUACAAUUGUCAGUCAUUGUGCGUGUGCGUACAAAAAUCAUAAUCGUACAAUUCGAUGCAGUUGAUGUUUUCUCUCUUAUCGCAACGUUUAUCGAACAUUAUCGUUUGAUAGAAAUGUGAUUUCUAUCAUGAAAUGACAUGCACAUUUGAGGUCGAUCUCUCUCUCUCUCUCUCUCUCUCUCUCUCUCUCUCUCU